AAGCCAGUCGAAGAUACCAGCUGGCUGCAACUGUUUAUUAAAAACACAGCACUGUGCAAACACGAAAGUGGACGUAUACGGUGUGACGCCUGCCCGGUGCUGGAAGGUUAAUUGAUGGGGUCAGCCGUAAGGCGAAGCUCCUGAUCGAAGCCCCAGUAAACGGCGGCCGUAACUAUAACGGUCCUAAGGUAGCGAAAUUCCUUGUCGGGUAAGUUCCGACCUGCACGAAUGGCGUAAUGAUGGCCAGGCUGUCUCCACCCGAGACUCAGUGAAAUUGAACUCGCUGUGAAGAUGCAGUGUACCCGCGGCAAGACGGAAAGACCCCGUGAACCUUUACUAUAGCUUGACACUGAACAUUGAGCCUUGAUGUGUAGGAUAGGUGGGAGGCUUUGAAGUGUGGACGCCAGUCUGCAUGGAGCCAACCUUGAAAUACCACCCUUUAACGUUUGAUGUUCUAACCUAGGCCCAUAAACUGGGUCGGGGACCGUGUCUGGUGGGUAGUUUGACUGGGGCGGUCUCCUCCUAAAGAGUAACGGAGGAGCACGAAGGUUGGCUAAGCAUGGUCGGACAUCAUGCGGUUAGUGCAAAGGCAUAAGCCAGCUUGACUGCGAGAGUGACGGCUCGAGCAGGUACGAAAGUAGGUCUUAGUGAUCCGGUGGUUCUGAAUGGAAGGGCCAUCGCUCAACGGAUAAAAGGUACUCCGGGGAUAACAGGCUGAUACCGCCCAAGAGUUCAUAUCGACGGCGGUGUUUGGCACCUCGAUGUCGGCUCAUCACAUCCUGGGGCUGAAGUAGGUCCCAAGGGUAUGGCUGUUCGCCAUUUAAAGUGGUACGCGAGCUGGGUUUAGAACGUCGUGAGACAGUUCGGUCCCUAUCUGCCGUGGGCGUUGGAAGAUUGAGAGGGGUUGCUCCUAGUACGAGAGGACCGGAGUGAACGCACCACUGGUGUUCGGGUUGUCAUGCCAAUGGCAUUGCCCGGUAGCUAAGUGCGGAAGAGAUAACCGCUGAAAGCAUCUAAGCGGGAAACUUGCCUCGAGAUGAGUCUUCCCUGUCGCUUUAAGCGACCUAAAGGAACGUUUAAGACUAAGACGUUGAUAGGCUGGGUGUGUAAGCGUAGCGAUACGUUGAGCUAACCAGUACUAAUGAACCGUGAGGCUUAACCUG
rnacentral:rRNA from 1 species